rnacentral:pre_miRNA from 1 species
UCUUACGGAUGAGCAAAGAAAGUGGUUUCUUGCGAUAGGAUCUACUCCUAGUGAAUGUGCUAUGAA